UACGUAGGGGGCUAGCGUUGCUCGGAAUCACUGGGCGUAAAGCGCACGUAGGCGGCUUUUUAAGUCAGGGGUGAAAUCCUGGAGCUCAACUCCAGAACUGCCUUUGAUACUGGGAGCUCGAGUCCGGGAGAGGUGAGUGGAACUCCGAGUGUAGAGGUGAAAUUCGUAGAUAUUCGGAAGAACACCAGUGGCGAAGGCGGCUCACUGGCCCGGUACUGACGCUGAGGUGCGAAAGCGUGGGGAGCAAACAGGG
rnacentral:rRNA from 1 species